rfam:Gossypium arboreum cultivar AKA8401 contig_1015_3, whole genome shotgun sequence.
AGUUAAAAUUUUCAUCGAUUUCUACCGUUAUCAACUGGCAUAGCUGACGGAAUAACCAAACAGUUAAACUUGGUGCGUCACGUGUUACUCAUGUCAACGUACAGGGACCAAUUUUUAACAGUGGAAAAUGGAUGAAAGUUUUAACA